UACGGAGGGUGCAAGCGUUGCUCGGAAUUACUGGGCGUAAAGGGCGCGUAGGCGGUGGUGUAAGUUGGAAGUGAAAUCCCAUCGGCUCAACCGUGGAAUUGCUCCCAGUACUGCACUGCUCGAGGGGGAUAGGGGUCUGCGGAACUACCGGUGGAGCGGUGAAAUGUGUUGAUAUCGGUGGGAACGCCAGUGGCGAAAGCGGCAGACUUGACCCUUCCUGACGCUGCAGCGCGAAAGCUAGGGGAGCAAACGGG
rnacentral:rRNA from 1 species